rnacentral:rRNA from 1 species
UGGCGAACGGGUGAGUAACACGUGAGUAACCUGCCCUUGACUUUGGGAUAACUUCAGGAAACUGGGGCUAAUACCGGAUAGGAGCUCCUGCUGCAUGGUGGGGGUUGGAAAGUUUCGGCGAUUGGGGAUGGACUCGCGGCUUAUCAGCUUGUUGGUGGGGUAGUGGCUUACAAAGGCUUUGACGGGUAGCCGGCCUGAGAGGGUGACCGGCCACAUUGGGACUGAGAUACGGCCCAG